rnacentral:tRNA from 1 species
GAAAUCGGUAGACGCUACGGACUUAAAAUCGUGAGGGU